rnacentral:tRNA from 1 species
GGCCUUAUGGUCUAGUCGUAUGAUUCUCCCUUUGGGUGUUCUUCAGGAACGCAAUUAUGGGAGAGGUCUCGGGUUCAAUUCCCGAUGAGGCCC